UUUCUGAAAAUAAGCAAUUGGUAACUGAACUCCUGCAGGACAUCAGCUACAGCUCAGUUGCCCAAAAUGGGAUAUGUUCUGAAAGGACAAGGGAGGAGUCUGUCUUGUCCCUUUGCCAACUCACCGAAAGUAAGGAGAGAUUACAGUUACCUUGUAUGCUGCUUGUGCAGGAAAGAAGGGAUGGAACACAGGAGGCAAAACCAACUAAGAUGAAAGGAUGAGUCACUGAAUUUUGAACUUGUCUGAUGAAAGGGUUGUAAUAAAAUGGACUAGAAACUCUAAA